rnacentral:antisense_RNA from 1 species
GAAAAAGGUUCCGGCCUCAGCCGGCGCACCUGGCGGAAGAGGAACCUCGCGAAGCGCUGUCGGGCACCGGUUUCUCCCAGCAAAGCUUGGAGGGUUUAGCUGCGGAGAGAGCUCAGCGAGCUCUCCUGUGCCUGUUUGGGGCGUGUGGGCUCCGGGAGCGUGAGGACCGGGAAGCUGGGAGGCUCCUUCCCUUCUGGUGGCUCCCUCACUGAGACCGGGCGGUUUGGUUGCGGGGGACGUGGAGGCGAGCCACCCUUGACCUUUGCAAGGACUCACCUUGAGCAGGAUAGAGGCACGUGAACGGUGACCCUCGGGGUGCAAUAAAUGCUGAGACAGAGCAGGUGUGCAAGGCACAGAGCUAGAGGCCAGAGGCUUUUCUUCUCCAACCUUCAGUCACCUCUUUGUAAAGUGAAGCCAGCAUCCUCCUCGGAGUUUACUGUGAAAAUUAAGUGAGCUGACGCGUGCUGUGUUUUGAUGUUGCUUGGCUCCUACAAACAUUCAGUGGGCCAGACACUGUUCUGAAAAAUACACAGUCGACUCUUGAACAACACAGGCUUGAACUGCAUGCGGCCACUAAUACUCAGACUUUCUUCUGCCUUUGCCACCCCUAAGACAGCAAGACCAACCCCUCCUGCUCCUCAGCCUACUCGAUGUGAUGAUG